CAGCCAGACCACCUUAAGGGGAGCGGCGGCGGGCGCGGGCUGCGAGCGCGGCGGGGCCGUCCCGGGGGGUUGUCGCGCUCCCGGGACGGGGCGUUUGUUUGUUAAUUGCGGCGCUGCUGCGCCUGGCGCUCGCGCGGCGCUCCCGCUGCGGCCCUAAUGACUGGAACCGCGGGAGCGCGGCGGGGCCCGUCUGCCGGCGGCGGGAAUCGUGUGAUUCGCGGGGAGUCACACGGAGAGAAGCGGGGCCGGGGGGGCAGCCAGCCCGCCCCGGGGGGCGGUGCGGGGCGCUGGAGGAGGAAAUGGAACGCGUGAGGCCAAACAAGGAACAAUCCCCGGGUUGUUGGCUGAGCCAACAGGCUGCUGUCGCCGGCUCUGUCGCCGUCGAGAAGAAGAGAUGCAGCACAAAGAUACUGUGUGUCUUGAAGCUGUUCAGUAAUGACAGAAUUGGUAUAUAAAACAGCACAGCUGUGGGGAGGCUGCUUUGCUUUAUGUGACUGAAAAGCAGCCUGGUUAGCUCAACACUGUGGAAUCAGGGCCCAUUGUGUGUUCCUCAUACUUGGGAGACUUCCCUGAAGUCCCUAGAAGUCCUGUGAUGAAGGAAUCAAGGGUCAAGUCUUUAAAAUGGUUUGUGUGUUUAUUCCAGAAAAUUCAGCAGCUGCUUUUUCUGAAAAGCUGAACUUUGCUAUAGCAAUGCAGAAUACUUUAGAGCACAUUUUUCCCCUGAGAUUUCAAAACAGAUGUCCAGUCAUCAAAUCCUGCAGAAAUAUAAAGCUGGCAAGAAUGUUACAGAUAUUAUAACUUUUUACAAAGUUACAGAUUUGACUUGUUGUCAAAUCUAGUCACUUUCUGACUGGUCUUUGUCACUACAUAUCUUUGUUGCCACAGAUACUCACGCCUCUUUUAGUCAAACAAUUAGGUUUGGCACUGGCCCCUCUGACACAAGCUUGAUUUUUCUGUGCAUCUGAGGCUUUGCAUUUGGGAUUAUAUGGGUCCCACCAAACCAGGUAAUGGUAACUACAGGACAUUUUAGUUCAAAAGAAUUAAAUUUGUCUUUUUUAAGUGGAAGUAAAAAUUGCACAUGAAAUCUUGGAUUCAACAUGCUAUUUUGUUUAUGUAAAAAUAAAGAUGUUUCAUUUAUAAGAUUCAAAAAAAUUGCUUUUUAAUUUGCCACUGAAUGUUCUCCAGUAAAUUUUAGUGUGGCAUUGUCUGCAUUGGAUAGGUCACUGAAUGGUGCUUUUAUAAAAGUGUUUGAAAAGAAGAACUUGGUCCAUGGAAAUUGUUCAAAUAAUCUUGUUAGAAUGAAGCCUUGACUGAAGGCAGUAAUUUCAUGGAUUAAACCCAGAAGGGCUGGCUGGGCUGAUCUCCUUCCUAUCACAGGCCACAGAGCUUUGUGCAGAGACUGUCUAAGCAAAUGCUGGUUAGCUGCAAGACAUAGGGGAUUUUGCAUGGACAAAACAUUGAACAACACCAUGAAACUGGAAAAUGUGGAACUUUUUGAGGACAGGAUAAAUAGGAGUUGGAAGAAAGAGUAUUUUUACAGGCCAUUUAGUAAACACGGUGAGGUAGAGUUGCAUCUAACUAUGUUCAGCUUUCCCCUAAAAAGUUCCAAUUAAAAGUAAGGGAAACUGUUUUUUUCCCCAGUCUGUCCUUUUCUCUCACAUGCCACAUGUGGUCCAGAACUGAGCAACAUGAUGGCACAUCCAAGUAUGGGAAGGAAUUGCCUGGUUUGUACUUCUGGAAUUCCAAAAAGUGCAAAUUAUGAACAAAACUCCAGUGCUGUGAAACCUGAAGAGAAAUAGGGGUAGGAGAAUACAGUAUGCAUCUCUGUCUUACAGUUUGAUAUU